rnacentral:sRNA from 1 species
UUGUGAUGUUGCGCGCAUGGACGAAGU